rnacentral:rRNA from 1 species
GAUAAACGCUGGCGGCGUGCCUAAUGCAUGCAAGUCGAACGGGCGUCUUUCGGGACGUGACCGUGGCGGACGGGUGAGGAGCACGUAGCUAACCUGCCCUGGUGUGGGGGAUAUCCUCCGGAACCGGAGUGUAAUACCGCAUGUGCUCAUCUGGAGGGAUCUGGAUGAGGAAAGACGAGAGUCGCACCAGGAGGGGGCUGCGUCCGAUUAGCUAGUUGGUGGGGUAAGAGCUCACCAAGGCGAUGAUCGGUCGCUGGUCUGAGAGGACGAUCAGCCACACGGGGACUGAGACACGGCCCCGACUCCUACGGGAGGCAGCAGCAAGGAAUUUUCCACAAUGGGCGCAAGCCUGAUGGAGCAACGCCGCGUGGGGGAUGACGCAUUUCGGUGUGUAAACCCCUUUUCGAGGGGACGAAGGCAAUGACGGUACCCUCGGAAGAAGGAUCGGCUAACUACGUGCCAGCCGCCGCGGUAAUAC